rnacentral:pre_miRNA from 13 species
AAUUCGUGGGCCAGGUUGAUGACGCGUAUUCUUGGGGAAUUAACACAUAUUUGCGCUGUUAUUGCUUGAGAAUACACGUAGUUUGCCUGGUCGCUCACACC